rnacentral:rRNA from 1 species
UACGUAGGGUGCAAGCGUUAAUCGGAAUUACUGGGCGUAAAGCGUGCGCAGGCGGUAAUGUAAGACAGAUGUGAAAUCCCCGGGCUCAACCUGGGAACUGCAUUUGUGACUGCACGGCUAGAGUGUGUCAGAGGGGGGUAGAAUUCCACGUGUAGCAGUGAAAUGCGUAGAGAUGUGGAGGAAUACCGAUGGCGAAGGCAGCCCCCUGGGAUAACACUGACGCUCAUGCACGAAAGCGUGGGGAGCAAACAGG